ensembl:lncRNA
AGCAUGUCCCAAAGUCUCCUAUUAAUUGGCACAGCCAUUUUACAAACAGUUACAAAUAUUCAUUUAUUAAUGAGUGAAUGGCAAGUGUAAAAGAGUUCACUAGAAAAUCACACAUUUACACCUAGAACAGAGGAGAGUUUUUACUGUCACACCAAUGGUUUUUACUCUCGCAUGAACGGGAGCGGGGAGGGUUUUUACUCUCGCACGGACCGGAACGAGGAGGGUUUUUACUCUCGCACGGACGGGAGCGG